AAAGGCCGUGCCAUGGCCCAAGAGAGAGGUCAUUUAUAUAAAUGCCUUCCUCACAGGUGUCACAAGGCUGUCCACUGAAGGCGCUAACAGCUCAGUGCUUGAAAUGCUUUAGAAUUGGGCCGCAUGAGAAUAAAAUUAUUUUUAACUGCUUCACUUUUCCUUCCUAAAGAAUUACAUGCUUUUUUGACCCUAUAAUAAUGAGAUUACAAGAAGAGAAAAGCAAUGAGGAAUGAUGCUACAAGCAAUCAUGAGUACUCAAGCUCUGCUAGAGGACUGAGAGGACAAGCAGUCAAGGGCUUCAUCAGCUGAUUUGGGACAUGCAGACAACAGCAACCAUGGCCCUGGAGAGACUGCAUGACAGCAACAAAGAAAGCAUGAGUUAUCUGGAGGGAGCUGGUCAGUGGUCUCCAGCUGGCCCCAGGCCCCAGCUCAGAAGGUCACACAGCUGACAAAUCAUCCUGUGAGUCAACCCUGCUCCUGCCUGUGUCCAGCAUAACUCAUGUGGCUUGGCAGCACUGAGGGAAGUUCCUCCUCCUUGCACGCUGCCCAGAGUCAAUGUUGCCCUACAGAACACAUGAGACAGUAAAGCCACCAAAACAGAUGGCAGCUUGACCAUCUUGUUAGUCACCAUCACCUCCUUGAGUGGCAGCACCAGACCAGACUCAUACACAAACACCACUCACAACCUGUCCAGAUGAUGCAUCAGCACAGCCAAAAUACAUCUACCUAUAUCAAAAAUAUAGGUUUGCAUCCAGGUCAACUAA